AAAAAAAAGUCGCCAAUAAAUCUGUGAAACGGUGACCAGUCUUACUUAUAUAUGCAAAGGAGAACAAUAACCAGAUUCCUCUUCCAUGGAGUAAACUGGCAACAUGAAGAGGCUGGAUAGUAGGCAGGAUUGGUGAGGGUGGGGGAAGGGCGGUUGGACCUACUUGCUGUGGUGGGAGUGAAGGUUAUCACCUUUUAGAAGGAUAUUUUCAGAAUAUCUGUCUGCAAAUUUAAAAUACAUACCUCCAUACAGUGAAUAUAAUAUUAUUCAGCCUUAAAAGGAAGGAAUUUCUGAUACAUGCUGUAACAUGCAUGAACCUUGAGGACAUUAUGCUAAGUGAAAUCAGCCAGUCACAAAAAGUUACAAAUGAUUCUGCUUCUACGAAGUAGCCAUAGUAGUCAAAAUCAUACAGAUAGAAAAUACAAUGGUGUUUGCUAGCGGGAGGGACACGGAGGGCAGUGGGGAGAGUGGGGAGUUCAUGUUGAAUGGGUAUACAGUUUCAGUCCGAGAUGAGGAAAAGAGUUCUGGACAUGGCUGGUGGUGAGGGUUGCACAACAAUACGAAUGUACUUAAAACCACUCACCUGCACACUGAACAAAUGAUUCGGAUAGUAAUUUUUAGGUGUGUUUUGCCACAAUGAAAAAAAAAAUUAAGACAGGCACAGUGGCUCACUCCUGUAAUCCCAGCACUUUUCGGAGGCUGAGGCGGGCAGGUAACUUGAGGUCAGGAGUUCGAGAGCAGCCUGGCCAACAUGGUGAAACCCCGUCUCUACUAAAAAUACAAAAAAAUUAGCCGGGUGUGGUGGCGGGCACCUGUAUUCCCAGCUACUCGGGAGGCUGAGGCAGGAGAAUUGCUUGAACCUGGGAGGCAGAAGUUGCAGUGAGCCGAGAUCACACCACUGCACUCCAGCCUGGGUGACAGAGCAGCACUCUGUCUCAAAAAAAAAGAAAGAAAGAAAGAGAAAGAGAGAGAGAGAAAGAGAAAGGAAAGAAAGAAACAAAGACAGGCAGACAGACAUACCCCUUGACCAAGUGAUUCCACUGCCAAACAUUUAGCUUAGGUUACACAAGAAAAAAUAUGCCAAGCAUGUUGAUUUCUAUAGCUCUAACAGCAAAAUCUUCAAACAACUUGAAUGGCCAACAAUGGUGAAUUCACUAAAUAAUGAUGUAAUACCAUAUAGCACACUACUCCGUAGAGAUUUUGAAAAGGUAGUUUGAGCUCUGAGAUAUAUGACUAUGUAACCAAGGCAAUGGCACAUCACAGAAUGUGUACUGUACGACCCAUGUGUACACAUAAAGUGUGUGUGUUGCGUAUAUAUGCGAUAAAUUAUGAGUAAUUUCUAUAUAAUCAUGCUUUUCUGCAGUCACAAAUAAAUUGUUAAUAGUGGGAAGAGUAUGGAUGGUGGUAGUGAUAGUAAGACUUUU
rnacentral:lncRNA from 10 species